rnacentral:rRNA from 1 species
ACGGGAGGCAGCAGUGAGGAAUUUUCCGCAAUGGGCUAACGCCUGACGGAGCAAUGCCGCGUGGAGGAUGAAAGCCUAUGGGUUGUAAACUCCUUUUCUUAGAGAAGAAAUUUUGACGGUAUCUGAGGAAUAAGCAUCGGCUAACUCCGUGCCAGCAGCCGCGGUAAUACGGGGGAUGCAAGUGUUAUCCGGAAUGAUUGGGCGUAAAGCGUCUGUAGGUGGUUGACCAAGUCUGUUGUUAAAAAUCAGGGCUUAACCUGAUCCGGCAACAGAAACUAGUAAACUUGAGUACGGUAGGGGCAGAGGGAAUUCUCGGUGUAGUGGUGAAAUACGUAGAUAUCGAGAAGAACACCAAUAGCGAAAGCACUCUGCUGGGCCGAAACUGACACUGAGAGACGAAAGCUAGGGGAGCAAAAAGGAUUAGAUACCCCUGUAGUCCUAGCCGUAAACGAUGGAUACUAAGUGCUGUGCGACUCAAAACGUCCAGUGCUGUAGCUAACGCGUGAAGUAUCCCGCCUGGGGAGUAUGCUCGCAAG